rnacentral:rRNA from 1 species
UACGGGGGGGGCAAGCGUUGUUCGGAAUUACUGGGCGUAAAGGGCUCGUAGGUGGCCAACUAAGUCGGACGUGAAAUCCCUCGGCUUAACCGGGGAACUGCAUCCGAUACUGGAUGGCUUGAGUUCGGGAGAGGGAUGCGGAAUUCCAGGUGUAGCGGUGAAAUGCGUAGAUAUCGUGAGGAACACCAGAGGCGAAGGCGGCUACCUGGACAAUUGCUGACGCUCAGGCACGAAAGCGUGGGGAGCAAAAGGG